ensembl:lncRNA
UUCAUCCCUGGCUACCCCUCCCAGUGUGAGAUAGCAAGAGGCUUUAGCAUCCUUAAGUGCCCUGAGGAUGCAGGCAGCGGACCACCUUGGAUCUUCUUCCCUGGCCUUCUGCAUACCUCAGCGUCCCAGGGUUCUGGUGACCAGGACUUCCUUCUCCAGAAUUUUCGGUUUUGAGCAUUCUCCUGUCCGACCCCUCUUCUCUCUCUCGCUCUGGCGCUGUGAAACCAUGACUGAGACCCUGCCCUCCCCCUGAUCCAGCGACCUCUCUGUCUGGGCAAUUCCCUAAUCUACAGGUCAAGUCUUGACCUUCCAGGCUGGCUCCAGCUGUCUGUGGAGCAUCUGCUCUUGGACAAGAGCAGUGAAAUCAAAGACGUGAAAGUGUCCACAGGAACUGAGCUGGACACCUCAGAUGCUUUCUGUAGGACAACCUUCAUGACUGGCUCAUUUUGCAGAUAAGGAAGGAGACCAAAGAUCAAAGGGUUAAGAAAUUGGCCCAAAGUCACAGAGCCAGUGAGUGCCUAAAAGCCUUACUCAGAAUUAUAGGGCUGAAAGGAAUCAUCCAGAUCACCACAGAAGGCAAGACAUCACAGAUGCCACACAUUCACUGGUGGCUCACAUCUCCUCACCUGUAAAGAGGGCACAGCACCCAACUUCCAGCAAUGAUCAAAGAAGACAACGUAUGCAAUGUGCCUGGAGCAGCAUGGAAAGUCAGCUAAUGGCAGAGGAAAGGCCAUGGGAAGAGGCAGAGAGAAGGCAGCUGUCUAUAAGGCAGGAAGGGAGCUCUCACCAGAAACUGAAUCCGCCAGCACCUUGAUCGUGGACUUCUAGCCUCCAAAACUGAGAGAAAAUAAAGGUCUGUGGUUUAAGCCCCCAAAUCUGUGGUAUUUUGUUCUGACAGCCUGAGCUGACUAUAACACACACCUGAAAUAAUUCCUCUCUCUCAGCUCACUUGCUCUGGGGGGAAGCCAGCUGUCUCGUCUUGAGAAACUCAGAUAGGUCUGUGGAGAGCCCCACCUGACAAAGAACUGAGGGCUCCGUCCCACCGCAAGGAAUUCAGACCUGUCAACAACCACAUGAGUGAACUCGAAAGCCAAUCCUUCCGGCCUGCUCCAUCCUUGAGAUGCUGGAGUCGCAGUCAACAGCCCCCUGCCGCCUGAUACCCCAAGGCCAGACUCUCCCAGCUGAGCGCCUCCCUCAGGACCUCUGUGAUAAUAGUCUUUGUUGUUUUAAGCUGGAACAAGAUUGUUUGUCCUGAAAAUGUCCUUAGCGUCACGAUUCUGCUGCUUACACCUCCGUGAUGUUGCUCGCCAUAUCGCUCCGUCCUGUUUGUCCGGUAGACCCGUCGUUGGAUCCACCUGCACCGUCCAAUAUGGCAGCCAUUAGCCCUCCGUGGCUACCAGACAUCUGAAGUGUGGCUGGUACAACUGAGGAACUGAGCUUUUUAUUUCGUUUAAUUUGAAUUAAUUUAAAUUUUAAAAUGGAUAAUCGGUUCGGUUACAGGAAAACUUUUAAGUAUGUUCAGAACAACUUUUUCUCUUGUGAAUUUACUUUUUCCCUUAUGAAUUUCACAAGCUCUAAAUACGGGUCAAGUAUUUCGAGUGGAUAUUUAGCAUCUAAAUUGAAAUACGUUCUAAGCAUAAAAUACAAACUGGAUUUCAAAGACCGAGUCCAAGAAGAAAGUAUGCGAAAUAUCUCAUUACUAUUUUUAUAUUGAUUACCUAUUGAAAUAAUAUUUUGGACAUAUUGGACUAAAUAAAACAUAUUAUUAAAAUUCAUUCCACGGUUUCUUCUUACCUUUUUAAAGUGGUUACUAGCAGGAAAGUUUAAAUUAUAUAUGGGGCUCAGUUUGAACGUCUUGCUAAGAGUCAGGUUGCACUUUUUUGGGAAGACAGUUUCCUGGGUGCUGUGGCCUUGUUCCAGCAAAGGUUCCGAUCUUGUCGUCUUGUUGGGAUCUUAUCACACCCUGACUUAAAGCUCUAUCAGUUAUUAGGGAUUGCAAAGUGGUGAUACUCGUGUUCCGUCACUCUGUCGUUUUUUCUUUUUACUAGCUGGAAUACGCCUAUAAAAGGAAACUUGUUCUGCUCCAGCAAGGGUUACCCUGAGGCGUAGUUUGUGAAGGAAAAAGAGGAUAAAUGCUUAACAUUUUCCCUUUCUUUGUUAUUUUUCAAAAUAACAAGUAGCUUCCUCAGCAUCCUUCAGUGGUGACCAAUUAUUCCUUUUAGAACCUUCAUGAGCUCAUGG